AUGAACGCUAGCGACAGGCUUAACACAUGCAAGUCGAGGGGCAGCACAGGUAGCAAUACCGGGUGGCGACCGGCGCACGGGUGAGUAACGCGUAUGCAACUUACCUAUCAGAGGGGGAUAACCCGGCGAAAGUCGGACUAAUACCGCAUGAAGCAGGGGCCCCGCAUGGGGAUAUUUGCUAAAGAUUCAUCGCUGAUAGAUAGGCAUGCGUUCCAUUAGGCAGUUGGCGGGGUAACGGCCCACCAAACCGACGAUGGAUAGGGGUUCUGAGAGGAAGGUCCCCCACAUUGGUACUGAGACACGGACCAAACUCCUACGGGAGGCAGCAGUGAGGAAUAUUGGUCAAUGGGCGUAAGCCUGAACCAGCCAAGUCGCGUGAGGGAUGAAGGUUCUAUGGAUCGUAAACCUCUUUUAUAAGGGAAUAAAGUGCGGGACGUGUCCCGUUUUGUAUGUACCUUAUGAAUAAGGAUCGGCUAACUCCGUGCCAGCAGCCGCGGUAAUACGGAGGAUCCGAGCGUUAUCCGGAUUUAUUGGGUUUAAAGGGUGCGUAGGCGGCCUUUUAAGUCAGCGGUGAAAGUCUGUGGCUCAACCAUAGAAUUGCCGUUGAAACUGGGAGGCUUGAGUAUGUUUGAGGCAGGCGGAAUGCGUGGUGUAGCGGUGAAAUGCUUAGAUAUCACGCAGAACCCCGAUUGCGAAGGCAGCCUGCCAAGCCAUGACUGACGCUGAUGCACGAAAGCGUGGGGAUCAAACAGGAUUAGAUACCCUGGUAGUCCACGCAGUAAACGAUGAUCACUAGCUGUUUGCGAUACAGUGUAAGCGGCACAGCGAAAGCGUUAAGUGAUCCACCUGGGGAGUACGCCGGCAACGGUGAAACUCAAAGGAAUUGACGGGGGCCCGCACAAGCGGAGGAACAUGUGGUUUAAUUCGAUGAUACGCGAGGAACCUUACCCGGGUUUGAACGCAUUCGGACCGAGGUGGAAACACCUCUUCUAGCAAUAGCCGUUUGCGAGGUGCUGCAUGGUUGUCGUCAGCUCGUGCCGUGAGGUGUCGGCUUAAGUGCCAUAACGAGCGCAACCCUUGCCACUAGUUACUAACAGGUAAAGCUGAGGACUCUGGUGGGACUGCCAGCGUAAGCUGCGAGGAAGGCGGGGAUGACGUCAAAUCAGCACGGCCCUUACAUCCGGGGCGACACACGUGUUACAAUGGCGUGGACAAAGGGAAGCCACCUGGCGACAGGGAGCGAAUCCCCAAACCACGUCUCAGUUCGGAUCGGAGUCUGCAACCCGACUCCGUGAAGCUGGAUUCGCUAGUAAUCGCGCAUCAGCCAUGGCGCGGUGAAUACGUUCCCGGGCCUUGUACACACCGCCCGUCAAGCCAUGGGAGCCGGGGGUACCUGAAGUCCGUAACCGCGAGGAUCGGCCUAGGGUAAAACUGGUGACUGGGGCU
rnacentral:rRNA from 1 species